rnacentral:lncRNA from 1 species
AUAUGCUUUACUUUUGAAAUGUUUUACAGUUUAAACUGCAGGCAUUUCCUAUUUUUUACAGCUCAACCUUUCACAUGAUGCAAUUACAUCUUAGAUGAAACACAAAAUUUCUGCAUUCAGAAUUGUAAUACGAUCACAGCAUUGUCUCUGUUUUUCUAUAAGAAUUGUUUUUCUUAACAAAGGCUAAAAUUUAUGUCAAAGUAUUUAAGCAGAGUACGAUGGAGACACCAAAUAGCCUACCUCUUGAUGCACUGAUUAAACAAUACCUAGAAAAUGCAAAUGAUGGGAUUUUCAUGCUGGAAUUGUAAUGAUUUGCUCUUGUUUUAUACCAUGCUCAAAAGAAUGACAGGCACAGUACAGAAGAAAUCCAAGCCUCUGUCAUUAAUAUCUUACAAAAGCUCCAGUCCUGCAGAUGCAAUUGGAAAUUCUUCAGCUUUAUUCAGGGAGCGAGCGCUGUCUUCAGCAGAAACUCAGUGGAAUCCAGUGGAAUUCAUCUCACAAGCAAGGAAAUCCCCUGCAGACCCAAUAAUCCCAUGGUGUGUCAUCUGUGAAGAAUGUACAUGAGAUCCUGAGCACCAAAGGCCUGUCGGUGACCAUGACAUGCACUGAAGCAGUGUCCGGAGACUUACUCAGAGGACAAACUUGUAUUGUUUGCUGGAGGAGGGAGGAAUCUGACAGGCUGCAGGACAAGAAAGGAGGCAGGGAGAGGAACAAUUAUCUUAGACCUAAAGCAGGUGAGAUACCUUGGAAAAUGGCAUGCUGUCCUUGCCUCCACUGCAUCCCUGCUGGAUAUCAGGCAGCUGUUGUCAAAAGUGCCCACUGUAUGUGGCUCCCCAUUUCUGGGUGCCAAAUGAGAGACCAAGCCCAACCUGAAAAGCUCAGUGCACUCCUGGUUGGAGCUGGCACAAAGAGGAGCUGGGCUUUAGGCACCACAUGCAUAAUUUUCAUGUCCUCUUAAAAUUCAGACCUUUCAAACUUUUCAGCUAAAUUAGUGGAUGUUUUACUGUCACAUUCUCAGCAUUUAAGUUAUUUGUGAAGCACUCUCUCCUCUCACAGAUAUGCUCUGCAAAUAAAUUCACUGAUGUUUGUGAAGCA